UGUGUCUUGAGGGAUCAGUUGGAUGCUAUUUUCUUAGAUGAGUUCAUCUGAGUCAGCUGAACAUAAAUGAAAACACUUCUUAGAGCACACAUUAGAGAAAAAAGCAGUAUUUUUACUAGUCAUUAGCAACUUUGUGGUAACUAAUAGAUGGUAAUAUCUAGUGUGGACAGUUCUUUAAUUUAAAAAUUUAUUUUCCAGCAUAUGUUCAUCUUCAGAGGGUAAAAAAGCAACAAACCAUUUAGUGAAGAGUAACUUUGAGCUUCAUUAUUCAUUAGAAGGUCAUAAAUAACUGGACUUCAAGUAACAUGAAAACUUCUGAGACCCUUCUAUCUUCAACAAUUCAAAUAGUUUAAGACCCUUACAAAUUCACACUGAAAAGCCAGUAACGUCAAGUAUCUUUAAAUCACACUAUCAUAAUUCACCCAACCAUGAGAAACUGAAAGCCUUGAAGUUCUAGCAGUCACAUGACAUACUAAAAAGUGCUUUAGCCAAAAACAUUUAAAUAAAUAUACUAUUACUCUUCAGGCUUUAACAUUCUGCAGAGACUGAGACUCAGAUAUCCCACACUACCAGUGCUGGGCUUUGUGAGGCUGAAAAUUGCUCUGGAGUACUGCUGGCUCAACAUGCUGUGAAAGUAUUAGUAGAAAAACUGGAAGGAACAAUGUACAAAUCAAAGCCAAGAGAAAGAAAAGUCUGAGAAGCACAAGACCCACUAGAGUCCUCAGGUCGUACAGAGAGAAGUUUUCAUACCACUCUCCUACAGAUCUUGAGCCAUAGCAGGUGGAGUGCUUGUUUUAAAGAGGAAAGAAGAGAGUUGGUGUCUGAAGCCGUGUCGGAAACAGUAAAAUGAAAACCUCUCAAAUACGGCUGAAUUGAGGACAUCUGUCAUCAUCUUCUGUUAAAGAAUCCUAUCUUUGUAUCCAGAGCAUCUCUGCUGCAGUGUUAUGAAUGUGUCCUGAGAAACCUGGGCAGAAUGAAGCUUGGCCAAAGGACAAAACUUCACACCAAAAACUGGAGCUUACAGAAGCAGCCUGGGAGGUUUCAACCCAAAGAUGUUGCACUGGAAAACAGCUCCAGAUUUCCAAACAGUGAAGCAAAGGAAGAGCAAGAAGGAGGCCUUGGAAAUUAUCAAACUUUUGGAGGGAACAUGAGGAGAAAGAAGUUCUGUAGGGAAACUGAGCAUUUCAAACUUCUCCCAGGCCUUGGGACUGAUGAAUGGCUCUGAGCUCCUCCUCGGGCAUGGCGCAGAGAAGUGGUGGGGAGGCACGCACCCUCUUGUGCCAGCACCCUGCCAUCUAAUUGCCAGGCUUCAGAUUCACAGGUGAAUCAAGCUUUACCUUUCUGCUCCACCGUUCUAGAUCCUAGAGAUAGAAAAGUCUAUUUAAACUACCUUAGGUCACAUCUUGUCAGCACAGAAGUAUUCUUACUGGCUUACUUCGAGGUGUUUUGUCACAUGUCUUAAUAACAGGGUUAAUACCUCACCUAAAAGUACCCUUUGUUAUAGUUACUCCACUCUGCCUUACUAAUUCAGCCUAAAUAAUUCCCUCCUUUGUUUGGCAAAUUCACACCAUUUAAAUACUUGCAGGCUUCAGCUGUGUCUCUCCUCACAACAAUUAUUUAGCAUCAUCUUCCCUUUUGCAAAGGAAUUCCCAUGUUCUCCUCUGUGCUUCCUUCUGACAAGACCUCUCCAGCAGAGAUGUGUCCAGAGCUGGACACAAUGUCCCUCCUCGACUCAACAUAAAAAAACCACAAAGAGCAGGUCUGCUGCCUCGUUGCUUUGUUCCACGAUACAUUUGCUCACACAAAGCCUGCACAGAGCUUUUCUGAGCCACUCUAAUACCACAAACUUGUCGUACUUGUUGUCCACUUCCAUUCCUACAUGUAUUUGUUUUUUUCUUUCUACCACCUUCCCAGUACAAUAUAUUAAUUUCAGGUUAUUAAAUGUAUUUGUUUGCAUUUGGCAGUUUGUUGAAGCUCUGAGCAACUGCUCAUGAGAUGAAAUGGCUCCAAGCUUCUGGCUUUCCUGCACUUCAAACAGCAUGUAGCUGGAAAUACUACAGUCAUUAGGCCUUCAAAACAUGUUUUUCUGUGUGCUAACAUAGAGACAUUGUGUUGUUCUGUAGCCAAAUCUUUAAUACAGUGAAUCCAGGCAGCUUCUGGUUUCUUAUUCCAAGUGAUCUUCCUCCAUUUUACAAAACUGAAAAGCCCCUUGGUCAUGGAAAUUACUGUAAUUAUUAAUUAUAUUUAAAGUUAACUUCUUUCGCUCCUCUAUUAACUAGGGAAAAACACUAGUUAAUAAAAAUUAUUAGGGAAAAAAUAAAGACAUUUCAGAAAAAUGGAUUAUAAAAUCCAACAAGAAAGUUGAAUCAUAAGGUUAUCUGGAAAUGUAGCAAAUAAUGGAGUCAGGUGCCCAGAAACCCUGCCAUUAUAUAACUAGUUAAAAUAUUCAUGAACAGUAGCAUAGAGCUUGAUCUAGACCAGGUUUGUGCCAGAUACUCAUCACCCUUUCAGUAUUUUGCCUCCUGAUGUUCUCAACUAUGGAAUUACCUGAAAAAUGUAUCAUUUUAUAUCCUGCUGUCUUAAGUAUCUUUGUACCUUAAGUAUCUUCACAGCAACUAAUUUUUUCCCUUUUUAUAUCUACAAUCCAGGUUAUUAUCAUUCUGUAUUGACGUUCCUAUGAGGAGAUGCGUGAUAAACUUCACUUAAGGCCUACCACAAACAAUCACUUCUCUCCAGUUGUAUUUCUAGCCCUCAUGUUCACAGGAAAAAAACACAAUCUAACAACAAACAAAAAUUUGGUUUGGUACAAAAUAACUGGUACAUGUACUGAUCAGCUGUCUAAAACCUCAUUUCAAAGGAGGAAUACUUUUAGUCAUUUCAUCACUUGGAGACUAUUCAAAUUACUGAAGCUCUUUCUUUAUUCUGUAAUUUGAAGACCAUUAACAAAUUUUUGCAGUUACUAUUUUUUGUGAAACUGAACUCCGUCUGCUGAUAUGUAGUGAUGUUUAAAAAAAACCCCAAAACUUAGUACAAUUUUAAUACAAGGUGUACUCCUCUAAGCAUUUUUUUAUCCUUUUUUUAGUCUUAUUUUUCAUUCUUCAGAAAAGCUCAUUAUUAUCAUCCAGCCACUGGGUGGCACCUCUACACAGAUGCCAGGUGUGCCUCGACAAACUCCUGAUGCCUUCAAUAAUCACUCCAUUCCUCCCACAGCCAAGCACUGACCUUACAUCAGCUUUGAGUACACAGCCACAUUUGGGAGACAGCUCAAGUUGGUUACUAAAAACGGGCUUUGUAAAAUAUUCCUGAAAUUUUCUGCUGUAAUUUUUCAACUCCUAACUUUUGGGAAAAAACAAAUCUGUAUAGAGAAACCUGUCAGGGGACACCUGGUUCCUUAAAUAUGUUUUAAGUAUGGGCAACUUUUGAUAGCAUAUGAAAUUGUUUUGAGACAUGUGCCAGAGUAAAUAUAUAAUAAACUUUGUUGCUUUGUAGGAAUAUUUUAAAAGUCAUGUCGAAUAUUACAGUGGCAUCCUGCAAGCCCAAGCAAAGUUAAAUUCCAGUUUUGGUGGGCAAUGAACUAAUAAUAUCCUUGCCCCUAGGUCAGCUGUAACUAUGCUGCACUGGACUAUCUCAAUGAGUGAAAAGCUCAUCUAGAUAUUUAUACUCUAGCCUAGCUUUAAAGCAUUGUAUAAACAAUAAUCAUCACACUGAGUUACCUAACACAGGUAAUAUCUCAUUUUAUAUAGCAAGAAGGUCAAAGAACCAGAUGAAGCUGUUUGACUGAGGAGACGAAAAGCCAGCAUCGCUCAUUUCUUUAAACACAUGAUGCUUGUCUUCCUUUGUUCAUAUUGACUCACCAUGACUUGAGGAACAGAAACACCACGUUACUGCAUCAUUUUCCUACUUUCUGUAGCUACACUGGGAUAUACAGAAGGGUGUUUACAAAUCCAGGGACAUGAAAAUGCUUUUUGAAAUGCAGACUUGCAGCAUUUCCCCAUCUGCUCUUUUUAUGUGAGUUUUAGCAUUUCAGUUCAAAGUGACAGUUGGAAAAAAUCAGCAAAGUUUGUGCGCUUUAAAGCUAGUUGUGAGCAUCUAGUAAUCUGCCUUGGACUAAAGUUCCACUUUUGUGGAAACAAACUGGAAUUUAUUCUAAGUCCAAUUAAUCUGGACAAUUCCAAAUACAGUGCAAUUCCAGCAACAAGUAGGAAAGUCUUUAAUUCUUGGGAAGAACAUUUCUGCCCACAAGGAGGGAUAAAACAGGUUUGUAUAGACCAAAAUAAGCGUCUCAAGUUCCCAGGAAAGGCCGUGCAGGAUGGGUACAGAGGCAGCAGGGAGGGAGGGAUGCACUGUCACACACACCUGAGUGCGAGGUCUUGUGCUGGGGACACCACCUGUGACACGGAAAUGAAUGACCACAGCUCCAGGCUGUGGCUGGGGACUGCAGCUCGCAGGAAGGUCCCCUUCAGCACGGGAUCCCAGAAGAUUUCAUGGCCUUUCAGCAGCCUAAUGCUCUACUCUGCUCCAGCCUCUCCUGCACCCACUGGGCCAGUGAGGAGACCCUGUGCAGGUCCCUGAGCCCAGCAUGAGUGUGAGCCCCUGGCAGCACAGCCUGAGAGUGAGAGUGAAGGCCAAAUGAAUGAGAUGCAACCAGGACUUGUGAGGUUUGGCUGGUGCUCCAUAAACUCAUCCAUUUAUCUAUGCAUCAAAAUCUUCAUAAACCACACCCUGCAAUUUCAGCAAAGGAACUCACCUAAAAUGAGUUGAUUUCAUGAGCUAAAUUAGCCCACUGUCUAGAACAAAGACAAGCACCUAGUGUAGUACCAGCCAUUCCACAUUUGCAUCAAUUAUGCUGAGCCCAAUUGAAACUCAGACUUUUGGCAACAAGGCACUGAGCCACUUUUUGCUCACAAAAUAACACAGCGGCUUACAUUCAGUGGAGAUUUGUGAUUACAAAUUGCAUCAAUGUAGAUUUAUUACAUUGUCACUUCUGAGCAUCAACAAUCUAAAUACCUAGGGAACCUACAGUUACAAACAUACUUCAGAAAAAAAAAGCAAUCUUUUUUUUUUCCUUUUUUUUGGAAAGCAGUACUAGAAAGGCACCAAUUAAGAAUGCAGACUUAGCUUUGUAAAUCCUGCUUUGAAAACUGGCCAUUAAAAUUUUACUGAGCUUUAAGAAGAAAGGAUGAACAAUUUACUAAAAUGAAUAAACAACUUCUUUUUGAUGUCAGGAAUGGAAAAUUGAACUGAAAUGACAAAUUUGGUAAGAAGUAGCAGGAAAACACAGAGCUAUACUUAGAUAAGUCAGCUUGUGUAAUAUGAGACGUUUUGUUGCUUCCAGACUUAAUAAUGGACUUUAUAAUUUCAGGCUUUAAGUAAUUAUAACUUUAUUGCAAAAGUUAUCACUACGGAUUUUCUCAUUUGCCUGAAAACACACAUCUUCAGAGAUUUUAAUAUAAAUCCUAAAUUAAUAACUUUCAUUUAAAUUCCAUGUAUAUUUCAAUAUGGAGUAUCUGAGUGAAGCAUCAUUUCUUAAGAGAUGGCAAUACUGAAUCACGAUUUAUGAGAGUGUUUAAUGGGCCAGGUCCAUGACUCCUAUGUCUUAGAGCAAACAACCUUCAUCUUUUAUGUCUAUAUACAGUUACAUUUAUGAAAACAAUUAAAAAUGCUUUAACACAGACAUAUUUUUAGAUGCAGCUUGUAAAAUCUAUUCUCCUACUUCAUAUGGCUUUUCUAGUCACAUGUCCAGCUGAAGAAGUAGCUCAGGGAAGUCUUAAAAUAUGAGACCUUUCAACAAGAUAACAAUAGAAAAGAUGAAAAGAUGACUCAAAAACUUCUAUCAAUUGCAGUCACAGAUGCAUCACAGAAAGGGAUUUUGUCACAAAUUCUAGCACAGCACUAAUGUAAGAUACCAUUUCACAGUACAUUCCAUGGCCCUACAGGUUACCAUCAGAGCUCUUCAUUCUCACAUUCCUUAAAAUGCCAUUAAUGCAGUAAUAUAAAUUGUCAAAAGUUACACAUUAAAAUAAACACAUGGAUGUGGAUGGGUUUUCUACAUACCUCCACAGAGGUCAGGCUUUCUGCCAGCUCAAUAGACAUCAUAACAUGGAUUUACACUACGAAGUGCUUCUUUGAAGUCAUAUUGGCUUCUUCAGAAGGACUAGCUUACCGAGUGAAUAGCAGCAGAAUUCAGGAUUCCUUCUGGAUACAAGCUCACUGAAGGCAGCCUACCUGCAUCUCUGCAUCUUUACAGAGCCAGAAGACCACGGGCUUCACCUUCAGAGUUUGUUUUGCUUCACCUUUUGAGCAAUGAGUUGUCUCCUAACAGUAUUUUUGCCUCUUGUCAAGUCCAUUUACCACACUCCUGUUUCACCUCCUUCUCUAUUCCGCAGCUACCAAAAGUGAUCUUGCAGGCAGUGAGAGGAGAAAAAAGAAAGGAUGCAAAAAACAGAAGAGAGGGGGAAACGAAAAAUUAAAAUGGGAGGCUCCUGGGAAAGGAGGUGCAGACAAACUAGGGAGAAUAUUUUUUUAACUGGGACACUGACAGCCCAGUUAAUUUUGUGUAAGGCUUUGUUAUUUAAAAUGAUGAGCAUUUUGUUACAAUUCAGUACACUUACUUAAUGUUGCUUCCACUCUGUUCAUUAACAGCUCUCUUCUGGAUUACUAAUCUACAAGGCCUUCAACUAUUGGUUUUGAACAGCUCAUCUUCCAACCUCAUUGCUUGAUCACCCUAGAAUGCUUAAAUACCUCCUGAGCAGGAAACACCUUCAUGUUAAUUAUAUUAAAUGUCUGAGCUGGAGCCUACCAAGCAAUUCUGAAUACAGUAAACCAGGCACAGACUUUGUGAUGGGUAAAAACAAUGUGCUCCUACAAUGCAACCAUUACAUGUAAAGAAAAAUCCUCAGAAAAAACAAAAUAAGGUCUCAACUUUGAGGAAGCUGGUUACAAACUAUUUAUAUCUCCAGCACUGAUCUGUGGCCACACCUCUAAAAAAGAAAUAAGUUUAUCUUGUCUCUUAGAUUUAACAAACAGUCAGAGCAGAGGUGGAUAAUCCUAAUGCACAUGCACUUUGGCAUGAAAACAAGUUUGAUUUGUCCACCAUAAGCAUUAACUUCCAGCCACACCUUCUCUUCUGUUUGGGUCAAGUCUAUAAUUAAUGAAAGCUCCCUCUCCAUGUGACAAGCAAAUUUUUAUAUCAUCCCCCUUAUCUUUGAUUAAAGAUGCCAUCUAUAAAACUGUAAGAUUACUAUGGUAGUGUUUGAAGCUGAUUUAAGGAUAAAAACUUAAGAGAGUGAACGCGCUCUUAAUAGCCUGCAGCUACAGCAUCACAUACUCUUAUGUGUACCUGACCUGGUCUGCACUGAGCAGGAGAAGCCUCCAUGGUGUUCACUGAAGGAAGGAAUUUUCAUUGCAGUAAAUGUCAUGCUUCAGCUCUUUGUCAUCAAGAAAUGAAUUGUUUCAGUACAGCACUCAGUGACAAACUGCAUUGUUCAAGUGUGUGUGAAUACCAUCUAAGGGAUUCUGACGCUUUACGGGCUCUCAAGCGUGCAAGCUGCUGAAAGCUUUGAGUUUUAAAAUGUCCACGUGACCAUUUAAAAAACAGGCAAAAACACAAAAGCUCCACAUACAAAGUUUUCUGGUGCUCCUCUGGAGCCAAAGGUACCAUCCCAGUGUCUCAGUAGGUAGAGUAGCUCACUUUGGCUCUGGGUCUUACGCAAGGCGUCUAAUUGACAGUUGAGUACAAAGAGUAAUUUAGUAAACAUCUUGAAUCACAAAAAAUAAUUCUACUACCAUUUCAAUUGCAUUUUAAUUUUAAAACAGUUCACACAGUAAACUUUAUCCUAAAGCAUCAUGUGGUACAAAUGUAUUAUGAGCCCUGGACUUUACACAUGAAAUGCAGGUCGUUCUGGAGCCAGUUCAAAGACUGACUUAAGUCAUCUAGGAUGUCCUAUUUACAAUAGCUGACUACAGAGUCAUCUGCCUGCAACUCUGUAGUUACCUGCUAAAACCUUCUAUUUUAAUUUCUGCAUUUGCCUACUUUCAACCCUCUGAGGGCUAGAACCAGUUUAACAAGGCAUUUAUCUCAUCAUUUGUGACCCAGAUGGGGCAACUCAUUCACAAGGGACAAGAAAUCAGAAUGUCCCACAGAUAAAGCCCCAGGAUCUGGGGGCAAAACAUUUCUGAUACUCAGUUUGAGACAGCAAAGUAUUUUGUCUUGGUGAUUUUUUCAAAGUAUAAUGUAAACCCCUCCUUUCUUAACAAUAUUCUCACAGCUAAAGGAGCCACAGAUUCCUUUCCAAAACCCUAAGUAAUCUCCAAAAGGGAGCAUGAGUAAACAACUGAGGUAAUCAACACUCUCUUACUAGAAACAGUUAUGCAAGGGAAAAGAAAGACAGCAGUCAUGUUUUCAUUGUAUUAGAUACACAGUGAAACAAGGGACAAUUUCAAAAUCUUUGGACCUAGUCUCCAAAUCCAGACCUUCAAGCAUUCUAAAAACCUCCUCUGCUGUGUGCAGUAAAUGCACAUUUGAAGAUGCAGUCAACCUGGCAGCAGACCUUUAGGACUGCAAAGUGUCUUUCUGCAAAGAUACAGACCCCGAAAUCUCUGUCAAGAGAUGUUCAUUAACCAUAAUGCAGAACUGUACUUUUUCUGUCUUCAAAUGUGAAAAUACCGACUUCAGAGACGUCAUGGAUCAGGAAGAGGUAACUAAGGAUGACAAAUAAUUCCUAAAUAUUUGAUGUUUAUUUUUGAGAUAGAUAAUUUAAUUUGCUUAAGUUUUAUGAAAUAGUAAAUUAUAGAUGUAAAAAUGAAAUGGCAUGCUUCUGCAGAAGCAUAGUAAGGAAAUGGACUUACAGAAAGACCCCAGUUGAUUUGUUUCCAUCAGAAGGCAGCACUGUAGCCUGGUCUAUAAGUCUGUUAAUUACAUAUCUUUAACAUUAAAAAAAGUAAAUGAAACACACCAUUUUCCAUUAAUGUUUCCAUUAAUUAACAGAGAAAAAUAAAAGCAGGAGCUACAGAAACAAGAGGACACUUGGUUUCCCUAAUGAGAGCUAGUUCAACAUAAUUUUAAUAACUCAGCUCUCACUAAUUAAAACACGCAAUAACAUUUUUAGGAACUUCAGAACAACAAUGGCUGUACCUGGAAGCUGAAAGCAAGAUCCCAUAUCCUUCUCAGGCAAUGUUCUAUGAAGCAAGUUCAGUUUUUCAAAAUAACUUAGGCAAGUAUUCCAAAUAUUCCUCUUCCUUAAGCAUGUGUCAGAAGAAUAGUGAAAAUGGAGGCAAUAGAUACAACUCAAGCUUCACGAAUUUCAGCAUAGAAAUCUAGAAUUAACAACCUGCAUGUUACACACCCAGCUCAUUCAUUAAAAGUUUAUUUUCUUACCACUUAAGUCUGUAUAAUGUAAGUACUACCCUAAAUCCAUUUUUAUCCUCCUAGUAUUGAUCAGAACUCACGAAAUAGGUUAAAAUGAAAUGUCAGUCUCCCAACAUAAAAUUUCCAGCUAAGGUAUAGCUGGUAUAGCCAAACACCUCCCUAUGUUAAUUGGCACAAAGCAAAUUAAUAAAAGCAGUUGCAGUGGAGAUGAAAAGAUGGAAACCCUCUAGAAGAGAAAUACAAGUAGGGGCAAACCAAACUGCUUAGGUUAUAGUCUACUUUUCUUUUGCUUGAUUCUAUGUCCUUAGUCAUUCUUUUUUAGUGCUCUACUAGGCAAAUACUCAGAAGAGUUGGCUCAAAAGUCAGUUUUGCUAUAGAAACUUCGACAGGCAGUUAGUAAAGCAUUUCUGUUAAAAGGCUCUUCUCAUCCCUAGUAAAAAGGUACUUUACAUGAAAGAAAAGCCUCAGCUGCCCCUUGGCUUUGUAAGGCACAUGCAGCAGCAGUUCUGCACUGCACUCUACACAGGGACAAGAAAGCAAGUUACCUUGGAGAGUCUGGGCAGACUGACCCACAAACUGCAACACCAGAAGAUUGAAGAGGACUGAAGGGUUUUGUUUUAUAGCUAACUUUUUGAACUAGAACCGUCUGUCCUCCUAAACCCUCACCUUCAUUCUUAAAUUGUAAUUUGAGCUAGAUUAAAGAACAGCAGAGCAUCAUAAAAGGAAGGGUGUAAAACUAACCAAAAUAAAUACAUUUGGGACAGAUUAUUGAGAAGAUGUAAAUAACAAGACUGUUCCAGCAUAUGAGACAUAAAGAAAUCAGAGUGGAAGAAGUAAAACACAUCUGAAAGUAUGAGAGAUGAAGGAGUAUGAGGACUUCUUCAACAAUUAAUAGAAGGACUACUCAAGCCAUUUUUUAAACACAUGUACUUCUCGGAGGAAAUGUAAAGAAGUUUCAAGAAAAAAUAAUUUGUAUAAACAUUAAAAAAUUCUCUGCAGUGAUUCAAGUUUUUGCAAUUUGUGUUUUCUGUUGCACCUGUUCUAUGUAGGUGCCAUGUAAAAAUUCAAACAGAAAUAUUAAGUAACACAAUGUAAUCAACAGGCAAACUGCAUUAAAGCCAAAAGAAGAGAGUAAGAGGUAAAAUCUAGUACUUAUUUGCAGUGAUGCUGAGAAUCUUUUGAGUCUCACUGUGGUAAACACUGUACCAAAAACUGGGUAUGUCCAACAAGAGGGAAGGGAGGAGACACAAUUAGACUGAAAUAUCUGUAAUUAUCCUAACAGUUUCAGCCCAGCAGCUGCUUCAUCAGAUUUAUCACCACCAAGACCCAGCACCUGCCAAGGAAAACUUGUGGCAGGAGGCACCAACACCACAAAACAGCUGGUGUGAACACUGAAAGCCACUGAGAGAGAAUGUGAACAAGCUCCUGGGAGUCAUCCAGGAUGGACAUAGCAUCUCUACCUCUAUGGUCUCUCAAAUCAAGAUCACAGGACCAUAGUGACAGCCACACAAACUUGGUGGCAUUUCCAGUAACCUCCAGGGUAACAGAUGUAUCAGUGACAACACUUCACUACCACCUAAGUGAUGCAGGACAGCAGGGAAUGUCACACUGCGGUGAAAUAUGAUCAGCCAUUUGCUUGGACAUGGAUUUGUGUCCAAAUUCAUGCUUACAUCGAUUAAGAAAUACAAACAGGGAAGUUCAACAACAAGUAUUCAAAAAGAAGGCCUACAAAGAAGACAGAAAGCUUAUACAAUAAAAAGUCAGACAGAGAAAUAAUGUUAGAUGCGCAAAUGUGUAUUUCAUUAAAGCAUUAAAAAGACACUAGUUCAUUUUAUAAACAAAGUGGGGCUAAUUUCUCUCUAAUUAUGUGAUAAAGCACAUUAGGAAAAAACAGUCUUUCCUAAGCAAUAUUAUUAAGCUCUGAAGUCUAGGAUUUAUUUUUCCUUGCUCUAAGCUUACUAACUACAAAUGUUUUAAUUAGUAAAAUUUAUCAAGGACUUUUCUAAAACUAAGCUGUAACUUUGGCCUCAUGUGCACCCCAGGCAGUUCAUUUCAAGAGCUUUCAAACUGCAAUGCCAUUUUUUAAUUCUUUUUAAAAAAAAGAAAUCAGCCUUAAACUUCCUUUAUUAAUUAGGUGAUUCCUACAUUAAAGAUCCUGUGUGGGUUUUGAAGAUAUAUAAAACAAUAUUGUUCAUCAGCUUUAUAUAAGAAAAUAUUAAUUCUUUUUGGCAACCUGUUUUAUACUGACUUUUCAGAUCUUCCAAGUCACUGAUGUUUUUUUUUUCCCCUCUGUCUUCCAGAUUAUGUACAUGCAUGAAACUCGCCACACAUUUAACUAUCAAGGUUCUUCUAUCAAUUUUUUCUGACCACAAAGCAAUAAAACAAAUAUUUCAGUGAAUAACAAAUCAUUAACUAUGGAAUAAGUACCUAAGAGUGUGCACUGGGUCUGGCAGGAAUGGAGUUAAUUUUCUUCACAACAUCUCAUACGGUGCUUUAUUUUAGAU